rnacentral:rRNA from 1 species
UGGGGAAUUUUGGACAAUGGGCGCAAGCCUGAUCCAGCCAUGCCGCGUGCGGGAAGAAGGCCUUCGGGUUGUAAACCGCUUUUGUCAGGGAAGAAAUCUUCUGAGUUAAUACCUCGGGAGGAUGACGGUACCUGAAGAAUAAGCACCGGCUAACUACGUGCCAGCAGCCGCGGUAAUACGUAGGGUGCAAGCGUUAAUCGGAAUUACUGGGCGUAAACGUGCGCAGGCGGUUUUGUAAGACAGAGGUGAAAUCCCCGGGCUCAACCUGGGAACUGCCUUUGUGACUGCAAGGCUUGAGUGCGGCAGAGGGGGGAUGGAAUUCCGGUGUAGCAGUGAAAUGCGUAGAUAUGCGGAGGAANACCGAUGGCGAAGGCAAUCCCCUGGGCCUGCACUGACGCUCAUGCACGAAAGCGCGGGGAGCAAAACA